GGCCCAGCAGUUAAUCCGAUAGACCCAUGUACUUCCAAUCCCUGUGUGAAUGGGAUCUGCAGAAAGUCAGGCUCUUCUUAUUCAUGCAUUUGUAAUCGAUGUUAUUCAGGAAGCAGAUGUCAAUACUAUGAUUCUAAACGCUGCUUAAUCGAGCCCUUUGAGCCUCGGG